UCUCGAUUCGUCUAGUGGUUAGGAUACCUGCUUGUCAUUCCAGUAAUCUGUUGUGGUAAUUCGCAGGUGGCCGGGGUUCAAUUCCCCGAUCGAGAG
rnacentral:tRNA from 2 species